rnacentral:misc_RNA from 1 species
AUAACUCAUGAGAAAGAGAAGGUCACUGGGCUAAAAAUUGAGCUCUUGGGAGAAACUUCUAUUGCAUCUACUAUAUCAUAUCUAGAUAAUGCAGUUGUCUAUAUAGGAUCAAGCUAUGGAGAUUCACAGCUUAUAAAGCUAAAUCUACAACCUGAUGCAAAAGGUUCAUAUGUUGAAGUCCUGGAAAGUUAUGUCAACUUGGGACCAAUUGUUGAUUUCUGUGUGGUGGACCUUGAGAGGCAAGGCCAAGGUCAGGUUGUAACUUGCUCUGGAGCAUAUAAGGAUGGUUCUCUUCGCAUAGUUCGAAAUGGAAUAGGAAUCAAUGAACAGGCAUCUGUGGAGCUUCAAGGUAUCAAAGGGAUGUGGUCAUUAAGGUCUUCCACUGAUGAUCCAUUUGACACCUUCCUGGUUGUUAGUUUUAUUAGUGAGACUCGAAUUUUGGCAAUGAACCCUGAGGAUGAGUUGGAAGAAACUGAAAUAGAGGGUUUUUGUUCACAAGUGCAGACUUUGUUCUGCCAUUAUGCCGUAUACAAUCAGCUUGUGCAAGUCACUUCAAGCUGUGUGAGAUUGGUCAGUUCUACAACAAGAGAGUUCCGCACUGAGUGGAAUGCUCCAUCAGGUUAUUCAAUUAAUGUUGCCACUGCUAAUGCCACCCAGGUUUUACUAGCAACUGGGGGCGGCCACUUAGUCUAUCUGGAAAUUGGUGAUGGAGUAUCUGACAGAGGUAAAACAUACCCAGAUGGAGUAUGAGAUAUCAUGCCUUGACAUU